CUACGGGGGGCAGCAGUGGGGAAUAUUGGACAAUGGGCGAAAGCCUGAUCCAGCCAUGCCGCGUGUGUGAAGAAGGCCUUCGGGUUGUAAAGCACUUUCAGUGGGGAAGAAAGCCUUGGGGCUAAUACCCUCGAGGAAGGACAUCACCCACAGAAGAAGCACCGGCUAACUCCGUGCCAGCAGCCGCGGUAAUACGGAGGGUGCGAGCGUUAAUCGGAAUUACUGGGCGUAAAGCGCGCGUAGGCGGUCUGAUAAGCCGGUUGUGAAAGCCCCGGGCUCAACCUGGGAACGGCAUCCGGAACUGUCAGGCUAGAGUGCAGGAGAGGAAGGUAGAAUUCCCGGUGUAGCGGUGAAAUGCGUAGAGAUCGGGAGGAGUACCAGUGGCGAAGGCGGCCUUCUGGACUGACACUGACGCUGAGGUGCGAAAGCGUGGGUAGCAAACAGGAUUAGAUACCCGUGUAGUC
rnacentral:rRNA from 1 species